rnacentral:rRNA from 1 species
UACGAAGGGGGCUAGCGUUGUUCGGAUUUACUGGGCGUAAAGCGCACGUAGGCGGAUUGGUCAGUUAGGGGUGAAAUCCUGGAGCUCAACUCCAGAACUGCCUUUAAUACUGCCAGUCUCGAGUCCGGAAGAGGUAAGUGGAACUCCUAGUGUAGAGGUGGAAUUCGUAGAUAUUAGGAAGAACACCAGUGGCGAAGGCGGUUGCCUGGAGCUUUGCUGACGCUGAUGCGCGAAAGCGUGGGGAGCGAUCCGG